rnacentral:rRNA from 1 species
AUUGAACGCUAGCGGGAGGCUUUACACAUGCAAGUCGAACGGAGUGGCGGACGGGUGAGUAAUAUAUCGGAACGUGCCCAGUAGCGGGGGAUAACUACUAGAAAGAGGGGCUAAUACCGCAUCCUAUUGGAGCCGCCGAUAUCGGAUUAGCUAGUUGGUGGGGUAAAGGCUCACAAAGGCAACGAUCCGUAGCUGGUUUGAGAGGACGACCAGCCACACUGGAACUGAGACACGGUCCAGACUCCUACGGGAGGCAGCAGUGGGGAAUAUUGCACAAUGGGCGAAAGCCUGAUGCAGCCAUGCCGCGUGUAUGAAGAAGGUUUUCGGGUCGUAAAGCUCUGUUGUUGGGGAGGCGGUAUCUGACCAAGAAGCCACGGCUAACUACGUGCCAGCAGCCGCGGUAAUUC